rnacentral:lncRNA from 1 species
UUUUUGCUUUACGCAUUUGUCGCCUCUCUUUCUAUCAUCCUCUAUAUUCCUCCACCUCUGAAACCGCGAAUGUUUCACAACGAGUGUUACAGGAUAAGCGGAGAGACUUUUAUUAUCCAUGUUUGAUUCGUCGGUUAUUCGUAAUUACGGCGAAAUAUUUACGGUUCAGGGAUAAUCGAGGUGCCGCAAUAACGAUAGAAGAUCGUUGUACAUAAUUCUUUUAUUAUCAAGUAUUACGUAAUCUUACUGUAGAAUAAGAGUUUGUAUCGUACGUUUGGAGACAGUGACAGUGGAAACAUUUACUGUUGGAUAAUUGGGAGUGUGAAAUAGCGAUUGGGACAAAUGACGAGUUUUCCCAUAAAUAAAUCUGAAAGUAAUUAUUUUCCGUAAUAUUAGUUCUAAGAAAUGUAUGAAAGUUUAAAAUUUUCGUUGUAGAUUACGUGUCGAAUUGAAAGGCACUUGUAUGAUGUAAAGUUUCUGGGAUUUUAGAGAAAUUCUAAAGGACUGUACGGAAAAUAGCCGAAUGUUUACGAAAUGUUCCGACUUUAACCGACGACCAUUAAACCAGUUCGCGACAAUUUCUGUGAUGUGUCCAUUAUUUUACACGAGUGAGGUGCCAAAUGAUGUUUUAAAAAGCUGUGUAUUUUCCUGCAACGUGCUUGCAGAAUUUUAGUCCCUAGAUUGUUGAAGAAAGAGACGCAAAUUCGAGAUAUUUUCGGAGUUACAGAAGAAAUAGUGAGCAAUUGUCGAGCAGGUAUACGAGCGGUUUUUUGAAGUUUUCAACCAGUUUUUCGAAGAGUCUGAACCACUUUUUUGAAGUUUUGAACCAGUGUUUUGAAGAGUCUGGAGGGCGACUCUAUGGACCAGGAAUCGCUGAUUAGCAUAUUAAUGCGAUGGAAAUUGCGACCUGCACCUUUCCCGCCGCACGACAAAUGCACACUGGAGACGCCUCGGUGAAAUGCUUGGAUCAGGCAUAAUAUGACAUAUAUCUUAAUGAAAAAAUUCUAGAAGACUGCUGAAAUAUAUAACAAUAAAACCUGAAA